UACGUAGAGGGCAAGCGUUGUCCGGAAUUAUUGGGGCGUAAAGCGCGUGUAGGCGGCUUUGCAAGUCGGGUGUGAAAUCCCUCAGCUCAACUGAGGAAGUGCGCCCGAAACUGCAGAGCUUGAGUACCGGAGGAGGAUGGCGGAAUUCCCCAAGUAGAGGUGAAAUUCGUAGAUAUCGGGAGGAACACCAGUGGCGCAGGCGGCGUCCUGGCCCGGUACUGACGCUGAGGCACGGAAAGCGUGGGGAGCAAACAGG
rnacentral:rRNA from 1 species